rnacentral:misc_RNA from 1 species
AACGCACCUUGCGCUCCUUGGUAUUCCGAGGAGCAUGCCUGUUUGAGUGUCAUGGAAUUCUCAACCUCUAACACUUUUGUGAAAGAGGCUUGGACUUGGAGGCUGUGUCGGCGCAAGUCGACUCCUCUCAAAUGUAUUAGCGUGAAUCUUACGGAUCGCCUUCAGUGUGAUAAUUAUCUGCGCUGUGGGUGCUGAAGUACAAUAGUGUUCGUGCUUACAACCGUCCGCAAGGACCAUCAUUGACAAUCUGACCUCAAAUCAGGUAGGACUACCCGCUGAACUUAA